AAAGAAUGGAACCGAUUUUAUGGUGAGUCUCUCCUGUAGGAUUCUACUAAUGUUUAUUUGGCUUGAAGAAUGUUACAUGACGUAUUUCUCUGCCCCUUGUGUAUGACUUUUUCCUUACAUUCCCGUAUGUUUUGACAAAGAGCAAAUAUUAUUUGCAGUGAAAAAUACUAUGAUUAAAGCAUACAUGGUAGUAGCCCGAAAUAUUAUUUGUUGCCUUAGUUAUAAUGAUCUAUAUAAGUAAUUUCAUCCUGAUAUGUAUGCGUACGUUUCUUUUGUUAUAGAUUUUACUGAAUGGAUAUGUUAUAACCUCCAUGAUAUUUGAGUGGUCCAGAAUCAAGACGCAUUUUACCCUUCGAUGAACAAUGCAAGGUUUCUUUUGCCCUAAAUUUGAAUCCCAAUAGAAAUUCAACAGGAAUUUAAAAUUCUUAGUUGAUGAUUCAUUUCAGUGUUCAGUACAAUGAGGCUAGAUUAUUUUCAUAAAAUGCCUGCUAAAAUCAUCCUUCGGCCAUCUUUUACUACUCUUGUUCGGUUGUUUAAUGCUGAGUAAUCAAAUAUAUUCUAUGAAGUGCUUCUUGGUAUUUUACAACCGUUUACUCUGAAUUCUGGUCUUCAUGCCUUCAGACAAUUUUCAGGUUGCUUUUCCACGAUUUCAAAUAACUUAUACUGCGCUCGGGGCGUAUCUAGAUCUAGCACAGAAGAGAUGAGUUUCUUGAAGACCCGAAAAAUGAUAAUACUAACAUGAUUGUUUUUAAUAAUGCCAGUCCUGUUCCAUAAAAUAAACAUAGAAUUACAAAGCUCGUGUUCACUCCUGCAAAAAAAAAUCAUAAUAGUUAAUUCUGCUGUAGUUGUAGAUGUACAUCAUUUAUUCUCGCAACAGUUAAUUCUAAGGCCAUUCAUAUCGUUGCAGAUUUUGCCUAUUCUCUGAGAUGGAUGAUGAUGAGCGGUGCAACCGAAAAUUCAGAGCUGGGCUUUACACACUUCAGUGGGUAAGUGAAGUUCCAGUUUUUCUUCUUUACCCUAUUACUGCUCUGUUGUACAUAGAGCAGUGAGUUUAUAUUAGCUAAAUGUUAGAUUGGAAUGCAGGAGUAGCAUGACAACACCAAGGUAGAGACCUGAAGAGAAGCAAGGGGUUGGACCAAGGAAACUAGAACCAUGUUGUCGUGAUGUGGGUCGUGUCG
rnacentral:lncRNA from 1 species